UAAUAAUAUAGACUCUGGACGAAAAGGGUGCCACGUGAUUGGCUAGUAAAGCGAUUAUAUGUAAGACAAAAAUAAACCUUGAAUUAGAACGGGGUUAGAGAGAUAGAUUAUUCGUUCGUAUUACGAUAUUAAAUCUGACCAACGUAAAAGUCAAACCACGUGGACGAAUUUAAAGACGUAAAAAUCUACGGCACGUAUGGCAUCAGAAAAAAAAAAAAAAAAAAAAUUUCACUUCUAACAUUUUUCUUUUAUCCGAUCUCCUACAAAUUUAGGAUCUAUUUGUGGUACGUUAGCAUAAAUCUUUUCUCGGCGUUAACGAAUGGAACGAAACGGAACGGAACGGAAACGCACGUUAAGUAAAAUUUGCGACGGGAUCUACCUUACCGAGGGUAAGCAAAAUUGCAAUAAGAAGUUGAGAAGUUUUCUUUUA